AUGACCCCUUUCCUCCUCGCAAGGCCUUCCCGACCCACCUCUCCCAGCCCAGCUCCCCGCCCCGGGCGCCUACCGCCCGCCCUCCCCUCACACGGCGGCUCCCACCGCCCCGCCACCGUCCGGGCACGGCUCCCUCCUGGCCCCACAGGCCUCUCCGCAGGUCUCCCCUUCGCGCCUGCCCCCGCCGCUGCCCCACGCACCCUGUCCCGGCGGAUCCCACCUCCCCGCCGCCGUCACCACCCACCAUCGCGGCCCGGCCAGGCCGCCUCGCCCCAGGCCGCUGCUGCCGCCCCCCCCCCCCCCCCCCCCCCCCCCCCCCCCCCCGGCCGGCGCGGUUCCGCAGGCGAGCCCGGGGCUGGGCAGGCCGCGGCCGCCCGGCUCCGCGGAGCGAGGCCGCCUCCCCCUUUACCGUCCGUCGGGGGGCUCGGGCCGGGCUGGGCCAUGGCUCCGGCGGGCGGGCGGCGCCGCCGCGGCCUCCUCCGCCUCCAGCCGCGGCGUCGGAGCGGGAACCGCUACGCCAGGGGGCCCCGGCGAGAGACGGGAGCUGCCGGCCUGGGCCUCCGCCUCCUCCGCCUCAUCCUGACAGCGGCCGCCGGCGGCAGGAGGAGGAGGAGGAGGAGGAGGAGGAGCGCCGCGCAGGCGCCCACGGUGAAGCCCAGGGAAACAAGUUGCACACAUCUUUAGGGAGAGACUCAGCUGCUCAGGACAGCAAGCCUUGGGUUCAUUCAAAAAAACUGUCUUUGGAGAUACUUAGAGGAACAUGAUACCCAAGAAGACUGAGCAGUCUGUGUAAACAAUGGACCAGGCAGCUGAAGAGAUUCUAUAGGAUUUCAGAGGAUCACGAAAUCUUUGCAAAUCCUUCAGCUGAACAAGCCCACCCUUCUGAACAGUUUAAUCCAAGUAGGAUUGCUGGAAGGUCCAGAAGUGUAGCUCGAGGCCUUACUCCAGGUGGGACUCUUCAAUGACUCUUGAGCCUUUUCUGGUGCUCUGCCUAUGCCUGUAUGUCCAGAGGUGGACCAGCUCCAAUAUUUGUUAAUACAAGCUUAAAUCCCACACCUUAUGUCAGUGGGAUCUUAGGUCAGCUCACCCAGCUAGUCCGACUGUUUCUCAUCAAUGCCAUCCCAUCCUUAUGAAGCCUUCAAUUCCCUGUUUUCCCUGAUUUCUCCUAGGUGUUACAGUGGUCUCUCUGUUUGCUGCGUUUUUUUUACUGGAGUGCCUUUUCCAGAGCUAUGUCCCU
rnacentral:lncRNA from 1 species